GGUGGAGAGCGAGGAGGCAGCAGUUCCUCCUUCCGACGAUGAUUUUCCUCCUGCAGCAUUUCUUCCUGCUGGCCAUAGACUUGGUGCUCGCCAUGACCCUUUCGUGCCUCUUCUAUGCCAUCGCCUGCGUUUCCAUCGCCUUCCUGACCUGCUUCAUUCUCAUCUUCUCCUUCGGCACCGUGGAGAGGAACAUCGACGUGAAAGGAGAGCGGUCGUAGUCCUCGUGUCCAACAGUUCCAUUGGGAGGAUGUUUGCAAGGAACCUGGAUAAAGCAGGGUUCAGGGUGUCUGCUGCGCACUGGCCCGCCCGAGAGAAGGGGACAGCCACGGAGGAGUGCUCCUCAAACACGGAGGUGGCCCAGCUCCACAUGACUGAAGACGAGUAUCAGAAGACAGUGAAAACCUUCAUAGAAAGCCACUUAUCCCUGAAAGGCAUGUAUGGGAUGAUGAAGAAGCCAUCAAUCCUCAUAUGGGAAGAAGGGGCACCAGACACGUGUGGGUUACCUGAGACAAAAACCUCUUGUGAACAGAAGAAACCUUUCAAGGCUCCACAUAGGAACUGCUUAUUGCAGCCAGUUCUGUGUGUCACAGUCCUCUUUCGCCCUCUGACCUGUGCCCUGACUUUCCUGAGGAGAAGCCCAAAGCUCCUUGUGCUUCUGCUGAGGCCCAAAAACUGAGAGUCAGGAAGGAAACAUCUGGAGAACCACAGGAUAACACUGUCAUGACACAAGGAAAAAGUGCUACGGGCAGGAGCACAACUGGGAUCAGAAGCGACAAACUCCUGGCAGCAGAGGAUUAUGAGUGGUGACUUCAAUUGCCAGACAACGACAAACUGUGGAUGAAGACAAAAAGCACCUCUGGAACUGUGAGAAAGGUCUCCCAUUCCUUUGCAAGUCUAAUCUGUAAGAGAACACCGAGACAGGGAAAUUUGGGGUUGUACAGGACAAUGCUGUACUGAACACACUCUGAUAUGCAGAGAGGAAAAGACAUCUGAGGUGAAAGGAAAUAAAGGAAGAACUCUGCUGGGAAGAAAAAUGCUAGGGGUUGGUUUUCAUUAUCUAAAGCCACAACUCAGAACUGUCUGACUGAUGAUAAGAGAUGUCACCCACCCAGGGAGCUGGAUCCAGAGAGGAAAAGGCAAGCUUUCAAAACAGCUUCUAUAAGACAUUAAACCAGCUUAAUAUCAAGCCAGACUGAAAACAAACAUUUUAAUACCAGAACAUCAAAGCACUGAGAGAGAACAUGCUAAAGCAGAAAAAUCCUGAAUUAAAAGCUUGGGGUUUUAGUCUUUACACAUUUGGCAAGUAACCAAUUAGAUGAAUAAUGCCAAACCCAUAUAUUCUGCAGAAGGUCCCCUAAAAUGUUUCCUUUAGCCAGAGCCCUGUUUUGAGCCAGAGUUGUCAACUCCCUCAGUGCAUAAUCCCAUUCUGUGCACACAACCCUGUGCAAUUUCAGCUGAUCACCAUUAUUUUCUCCUCCAGAUUAUUGCAGUGGAUGUGUGGGGGCUGUUGCCUUUCCCCCCAAAGAGGCUGUCACUCAAAGGAUGGCCCCUGCUUGUUUUAUACACGCAGGAGUAUUCACAGUCUGAAAUGAGGGACAUUAUGAGAGCAAAGCUCCUGAAGACUUCAGUGGAGGUUUAGCUUGCCUGAGGACUCAGGGAUGGCCUACAUUUGUUUAUAAAGCUUCCCAGUCCACUGGGAUACAGGGAUACUGCGUGCAAGCAUAAAAUUAUGACUGUGAGGCAAUACCACCAGGAGAUAAAUUAUAAUAUAACUGCACUUAAAAGUAUGUUUAACACAAAUUAGUUAUAUCAAACUAACACUGAAGUUAUAGACUGCUGAAGCUGACUAAGGGAUCUGAAUGCCCAGAUGCUUUUAAUUUGAGUGGGAAUGAGGGAUUUGAAUUCCUUAAAUAGUCUUGAAUGUUUCAUCACUAACAUAUAACACACAAAAAAGUAAAAAUUAAAGUAACUGGCUCUCUUCAAGCCUACAAACCCAGCUAAAAGACUUUGGCAACAUCUUUUGGGACGCACUCUCUCAAUCAUCCUACUAUUACAAUUAAAGGUUCAGAAAUUCCUGAAAGGGUUCCAAAUCUGGAUGAAAAUCUUCAGGGAAAAAAAACUCAAUUCCAACAAAUACACACAAUAGAUCACUUUGAUUAAUUUAAUAAAAAUGGAGUUGGGCUAUAAGUUUUGGCACCAAAUCCUGUGUCCUACAACUCAGAACAGAAACAACUGAUGACCCAAGACUUGUUCUUUCUCCCCAGUCUCAACUGCAAUACUUCCAUCUUUUAACCUUUUGAAGAAAGCACAGAAUUGGACUUCAACUGUGACACAUUUUCCUGGUCAGCACUCUAAAAUUAUUUCCUGACAGAACCAAAAUGUUAGUGGUGAUGGAGUAACAGAGGGAAGCUGGUUACAACAACACAACCUUCCACCAUUUUAAAUUAUGUUAAUAAUCUGCAGGCCAAUAUUAUUCCUUUAUGGAUGUCUGCAGGCCUGUCAAAAGACACUAAGAGAGCAUUCUCCUGGGUUACCUGUGUCUUUCUCUAUUUUGGGGGAUACUUUUCUCCUGACUUCCCUCUCCAGAGCAGAGGUCAUUCCCACAGACAUCUCCACAGAGAACACUGGGAGGUGUUUAAGGUGGCCUGAGGCAAGAAAUUUCCCUUCACGUGCUUAUUGUAUUCAAGGGAAAACAUUCAGGGGAUGACAAAGAGGAAGGAGAGGGCAGGGAAGCAAAAUAAUGAUUAGUGUAAUGGGAUUUGCUAUUCUUGUUAACAGUUUAAUCAAUAUAAACAUUAACAGAA